rnacentral:rRNA from 1 species
GUAGGGUGCAAGCGUUAAUCGGAAUUACUGGGCGUAAAGCGUGCGCAGGCGGUUUUGUAAGUCUGAUGUGAAAUCCCCGGGCUCAACCUGGGAAUUGCAUUGGAGACUGCAAGGCUAGAAUCUGGCAGAGGGGGGUAGAAUUCCACGUGUAGCAGUGAAAUGCGUAGAUAUGUGGAGGAACACCGAUGGCGAAGGCAGCCCCCUGGGUCAAGAUUGACGCUCAUGCACGAAAGCGUGGGGAGCAAACAGGAUUAGAUACCCUGGUAGUCCACGCCCCUAAACGAUGUCUACUAGUUGUCGGGUCUUAAUUGACUUGGUAACGCAGCUAACGCGUGAAGUAGACCGCCUGGGAGUACGGUCGCAAGAUUA